UCCGGAGUCGUCUAGCUCGGAAGGACCCGAGGCUCUGAACCUCGUGAUGGUGGUUCGAAUCCACCCUCCGGAU
rnacentral:tRNA from 1 species